GGGGAAUCUUCCGCAAUGGACGAAAGUCUGACGGAGCAACGCCGCGUGAGUGAUGACGGCCUUCGGGUUGUAAAGCUCUGUUAAUCGGGACGAAAGGCCUUCUUGCGAAUAGUUAGAAGGAUUGACGGUACCGGAAUAGAAAGCCACGGCUAACUACGUGCCAGCAGCCGCGGUAAUACGUAGGUGGCAAGCGUUGUCCGGAAUUAUUGGGCGUAAAGCGCGCGCAGGCGGAUUGGUCAGUCUGUCUUAAAAGUUCGGGGCUUAACCCCGUGAUGGGAUGGAAACUGCCAAUCUAGAGUAUCGGAGAGGAAAGUGGAAUUCCUAGUGUAGCGGUGAAGUGCGUAGAUAUUAGGAAGAACACCAGUGGCGAAGGCGACUUUCUGGACGAAAACUGACGCUGAGGCGCGAAAGCCAGGGGAGCGAACGGGAUUAGAUACCCCGGUAGUCCUGGCCGUAAACGAUGGGUACUAGGUGUAGGAGGUAUCGACCCCUUCUGUGCCGGAGUUAACGCAAUAAGUACCCCGCCUGGGGAGUACGACCGCAAGGUUG
rnacentral:rRNA from 1 species